AGGAAAUCAACAACCGAUGUAUUAGAGCUGCCUACAAAAUUGCCACAUGUAGAAAAAUCCUCAAGCCAACUAUCUCUCCAUUUCCCACCUUCAUUGGCUGAUGUGACUAUAUCUACUUGUCAUGGACCUCCAUUAAUAUAAGUAAAAUCAUAAGAAGUGAAAAAGAAGGAAGCAUGAAAUAUGUUUUUUUAUUAUUUCUUUCCUCUCGUACAAUUUAUUUUAUCUCUUGCCAGUCAAGUAGGGCAGGCUAGCUCCCUAACCAUCCUCAUUAUACUAGUUUGAAUUCCCCUAUUAUCUACACAAAUGAAGUUGAUAGAAAAUGAGCUAAGAAGCAUUGGCAAGAAGGAAACCAUUAUAACCAUGCUCAGGUAAUCUUUUUACUUGUAAUUUUAACUUUCUAUUACCUGACUCUAUCAUUCUGUGAGCCUCAUCAUCAAGGGUCUUGGCUUUUUGCUGAUGACCACUAACACCGAUGUGCUAGGCUAGGCUCACAAAUGCCAAGUGUGCCACAUUGUACCAAUAGAUGCAAUUAAGAGAAAUGAACUCAAAAUGAAAAGAGAUAGACUCUCCGCUUUCAAAUAAUAUUCCCAAUUUCUGUUUUAUGAAGUUGUUCCAUAAAGGAGUGGAGUAUUAUAGAUCAGAGGAGGAAAAAAGGUCCAAACAGAACUCAAUGUAGCAUUUGUCAGGAAGAUUCAGGAAGAUAUCACAAAGAAAAUUUUCAGAAAGUAAGGUCAGAUGCAAGUAUUAUCUUCACACUUCACAUCUCUACUUGUAUUAUCUCCUAAAUUCAUAUUUUCCACUGAUAUAACAAAUACCCAUCUAGGAUAAAUCUGAAGUUACCAAUGACUGUAUUAUUUCUAAGUUCCAUCAACAAAUGAUACAU
rnacentral:misc_RNA from 1 species